rnacentral:rRNA from 1 species
CGAACGCUGGCGGCGUGCUUAACACAUGCAAAUCGAACGGAAAGGCCCUGCUUUUGUGGGGUGCUCGAGUGGCGAACGGGUGAGUAACACGUGAGUAACCUGCCCUUGACUUUGGGAUAACUUCAGGAAACUGGGGCUAAUACCGGAUAGGAGCUCCUGCUGCAUGGUGGGGGUUGGAAAGUUUCGGCGGUUGGGGAUGGACUCGCGGCUUAUCAGCUUGUUGGUGGGGUAGUGGCUUACCAAGGCUUUGACGGGUAGCCGGCCUGAGAGGGUGACCGGCCACAUUGGGACUGAGAUACGGCCCAGACUCCUACGGGAGGCAGCAGUGGGGAAUAUUGCACAAUGGGCGGAAGCCUGAUGCAGCAACGCCGCGUGCGGGAUGACGGCCUUCGGGUUGUAAACCGCUUUCGCCUGUGACGAAGCGUGAGUGACGGUAAUGGGUAAAGAAGCACCGGCUAACUACGU